GAGAAAGUGAGGAAGGCCUCUCACAUGCUGAUUGGACACCCUGUGGAUUCCUCAUGGUAGAACUUGGUCAAGAGUCACAGAGGUCUGGUUUUUAUGUUUAUGCCAAACUUCUUGAAGCUAGAAAUUGGACCUUGGCAAAGAAGCUGAAGCCGGAUGGCUACAUCAGUGCUGAUGUCAUCACUGCCCAGAGCUCUGGGUGAGGAGACCUGCAUUCUCUCUGCAACCGACUGCCUGGGAAAUGGAGCUGCCUCUUUGGCCCUCCCCUAGCCUGGCUGACACACGUAGAGAACAUUGCAUUUAUUCCGUGUCCGGGAUCAUGAUCAUUUCAUUUUGCUCAGGUCCCACUGCUCGGAUCAGAAGAUUUGGAGAGUUUCAGUAGAUGUGAUAUCUCACGGCAAUUUUACCACAUUUGAAAGGCCUGUACUUCUUUUCAAAGCAUCUUCACAGCUAUGAGUUCAUGGGAUCCUGACAAUAACCUCAUGAGAAUAGAUCAUGACGAUUUGGAACUUGGUGCAAUCAAACCAACUAAAACAAGACCCAAAUGAUGCUCUAUGUUCUUGUGGGAGGCAUGGAUGAUGAUAGAAUGCUACACUCCUUUCAGAUGGCAUAUCCAUACUUCAAAUCAGCUUUCACUAUGAGGCUACUCUGGCUUGCCCAAGGUCAUCGUACAGGUGAUAUGCGGCAGAUCAGCAAUUAUAUCCAGCUCCUUUGAUUACAAAUCCACUGGUCUUUCCACUAAAGGUUAUCCCCUGAGGGAAGCAGGGGCUGGGCAUUACUUUCAUCUGCACCCUCCUGCAGUGCCCACCAGCCUGAUCUCCUGUGUCCUGAGGUAUGGAGAGCCUCUGUGUGAGAAGAGGAGUGACCUUUCCUCUUACCAGAGACCUUCCAACUCCUGCUGUCCCUGUCCUGAGGGAAGAAGAAGAGGAAAGUCAGUAGGGAGUGAGAAUUUCAUCUCUUUCUGCACCAUCUCCUGCCUAAUCACCAGACUUUGGAGGGAAAAGGAGUGAAACAGAUCCUCCCAUCUGACUAUGUGCCUUCUAUCUCAUGUUGCUCUUGUCUCCAGCCUCCCUUGGGGAGAGAUAUGGAGUCCUCUACUGAAUGAUAAAUAUACUCACACCUGGGCAUACCCAACACAUCCCAAUGAUUUUGAAUUCCUUUAGAUCAUCAUCCAGACCCUAUUCCUCUUCCCCCUACCUAAUUCCUUAUUCUCAUCCCCUCAAGUCCAAAACAAAUGUUACCCACAUCUCCCAAUAUGCCCUUCUGGAAUGCCUGUUAUACAUGCAGCAAAUUUCCCUUUAUUCAGAAUUUUUCCCUCUCCUACUCUCCAUCUUGUUUUUUGUUUUUGUUUUUUUUUGCUCCCCAUUGCCACUUACAGGUUCUCCCCCUGGUUCACAGAGUUCAAUAAUCUCUGUUUCUCUGAGGUUCAUAUAAUCCAUAUCUACCACACAAAUCAAAAUCAUGGUAGCUAUUGUCUAUAGACCUCUCGGUCACUUCCAUUUCUUCCUUACAGAAUUCUUCUUCUGGCUCACAAUUUUUGUCCUUUCCCCAAAUCCAACCUUCAUACCACGGGACUUCAACAUACAUAUUGACUACCUGGCAAACAUCCUAACCACUGAGUUCCUCAACCUACUCAUAUCCCAUGAUCUACUUCUCCACCCCACCUCAACCAUAUAUAAAGAUGGUUAUAUCUUUGAUCUUGCCAUCCACAAAUACACUACCUCCAUGUUCAAGAAUCCUGAGAUCCAGGGGAAGCUAGGUGGC